AAAUCAGUAACAGAUAGAGACAGUCCCUGCCCUUUGACAGGCUCUUCUCUGUGCCUCAGUAACCCCAUCUGUAAGAUGGGGAUGAAGGCCGUGAGCCCUAUGUGGGACAACCUGAUCACCUUGUAUCCUCCCCAGCGCUUAGCACAGUACUUUGCAAAUAAUAAUAAUAAUGUUGGUAUUUGUUAAGCGCUUACUAUGUGCAGAGCACUGUUCUGAGCGCCGGGGUAGACACAGGGGAAUCAGGUUGUCCCACGUGGGGCUCACAGUCUUCAUCCCCAUUUUCCAGAUGAGGUCACUGAGGCUCAGAGAAGUGACCUGCCCACAGUCCCACAGCUGACAAGCGGAUUCGAACCCACGACCUCCGCCUCCCAAGCCCGGGCUCUUUCCACUGAGCCACGCUGAUGAAGGCCGUGAGCCCGCCGUGGGACCACCUUGAUCACCUUGUAUCCUCCCCAGCGCUUAGAACAGCGCUCUGCACAGAGUAAGCGCUUAACGAAUGCCAUCACCGUGAGGAUUUUUCCAAUGAAAAUGCCGAGGGGGCGGGGCCUCAUCUCCAGGCAACGAGGUUCCCGCCGGCCGAACGGUCGCCUAGGCCGCUCGGGGCGGGGCCGCCAAGGCCUCCUGGAGUUGUAGUUCUCGUCGCCCGGCCGGGCCGGGCCCGGAAGGGGGGCGGGGAGAGGCUGGACUACAACUCCCAGCGGCCCCCGGGCGCUGCAGCCUGACACCCCGCUAGCUCCCCGCUGCCAGGCCAGCCUGCUCACCAUGGCCGUUUCUCGGGGCCACCCUGCCCCGGAGGAGAGUCUGGGGCUCUACCAGCGGGGUCUCAGGGACCGCGCUAACAGAAGCAUCCGCCAGCUGAAAUCAGCCUUGCAAGAAAGCCACCUCUCAGCAGAAGAGAUGAAUUUCCACACGAUCAGUCCUGCAGUGAGCCGGGAGACGGCGACGGUGGGGCCUGGCAAGUUCUGCAACCCAGCCCGGCAGUCAAUCAACUCAGGGCGCUGCUGCAGCGACAGAUGAGCGAGGAAAGCGAAGCCUCUCCCCCGAAGAGGAGAAUGUCCCCUCCGGUGGGUAUUUCUUGCUGAGAUCUCACGUCACCGUGAAAUAUAUCCGGUUUCAUUUCAGAGACGAGAGCGGUGGUGUUCGAAAUGCACAGAAGCGAUUCAUCAGUCUCUGGGCUUUCCGGUUGGAGCGUCUGAGCUGUUGUGUAAGGAGGGCCCCAUCUCCGACCAAGCUAAAUUUCUCCUUCACAGCCUAAUUCGAAUCAAAGAAACAUAAUAAGAACAUUGCGGUGCUGGGACUCCAUUGGGUGAACAAUUCAUGAGGUAAAAAAAAA
rnacentral:lncRNA from 1 species